UACGUAGGGGGCAAGCGUUGUCCGGAUUUACUGGGCGUAAAGAGCGCGCAGGCGGUCGUAUAAGUCGAAUGUGAAAGCCCCUGGCUCAACUAGGGAGAGUCAUUGGAUACUGUUCGGCUCGAAGGCAGGAGAGGGAAGUGGAAUUCCGGGUGUAGUGGUGAAAUGCGUAGAUAUCCGGAGGAACACCAGUGGCGAAGGCGACUUUCUGGCCUGUUCUUGACGCUGAGGCGCGAAAGCUAGGGGAGCAAACGGG
rnacentral:rRNA from 1 species